rnacentral:rRNA from 1 species
GAUGAACGCUGGCGGCGUGCCUAAUACAUGCAAGUCGAGCGAACAGACGAGGAGCUUGCUCCUCUGACGUUAGCGGCGGACGGGUGAGUAACACGUGGAUAACCUACCUAUAAGACUGGGAUAACUUCGGGAAACCGGAGCUAAUACCGGAUAAUAUAUUGAACCGCAUGGUUCAAUAGUGAAAGACGGUUUUGCUGUCACUUAUAGAUGGAUCCGCGCCGCAUUAGCUAGUUGGUAAGGUAACGGCUUACCACGGCGACGAUGCGUAGCCGACCUGAGAGGGGGAUCGGCCACACUGGAACUGAGACACGGUCCAGACUCCUGCGGGAGGCAGCAGUAGGGAAUCUUCCGCAAUGGGCGAAAGCCUGACGGAGCAACGCCGCGUGAGUGAUGAAGGUCUUCGGAUCGUAAAACUCUGUUAUUAGGGAAGAACAAAUGUGUAAGUAACUAUGCACGUCUUGACGGUACCUAAUCAGAAAGCCACGGCUAACUACGUG